GUUGUAGUGACUCGCGGUUGUCGAAGCCGGUCAAAAAUAACCUUCCUGGUUAUCAACAAUUUUACAACUGCAGAUAGUGGUGAAAGGAUCGAAUCCACAGAGAAUUGAUUACCUAUUUAUUUUUCUCAACAAGACCAAUAAAAUGAACUGAAACAAUAAUAAAUUAAAGAUGAGAUAAAAGACUGAAAGUGGGAUCAAAUGAGAUAAACUGGAAGCAGAAUAAAAAUAAAUUGCAAUAAAAGUAGAAUGGGGGGGGGUUUGAGAUUGAUUGUAGUAACUAAUAAUGAGAGUAAUAAUAGAAAGCAAAUAAUUAAAAUAAAAGAGGAAAUCAAUAUGAGAGAAGUCUAGUUGAAGAUAUGGAUCCACUUUGGUUGUUUGGGUUGAUCAUUGAAACUUAGAUUAUCUUGAUUGGUUCAAUAGAUUAGUUAUGGGGGUNNNN
rnacentral:lncRNA from 1 species